rnacentral:rRNA from 2 species
CGCUAGUAAUCGCGGAUCAGCAUGCCGCGGUGAAUACGUUCCCGGGCCUUGUACACACCGCCCGUCACACCACGAGAGUUUGUAACACCCGAAGUCGGUGAGGUAACCUUUUGGAGCCAGCCGCCGAAGGUGGGACAGAUGAUUGGGGUGAAGUCGUAACAAGGUAGCCGUAUCGGAAGGUGCGGCUGGAUCACCUCCUUUCUAAGGA